GGAUGGAUCUCGCGUACACAUUUACAUUUAGAAGCUGAGCGGAUAGUAGGCUACACACUAACCCGGAUAAGAGCUGGAGGAUUCCCUCGUACAGCAAAGGCAUGGGGGGCUGCACUUUCCGUGGAUCUCGCGGAAAAGGUUCCAUUUGACCAUCCAUCUAUACCCGCUCAUUCCUGCUCAGGCUUACGGGAGCCUAUCCCAGCAUGUAUUGGGCAAGAGAGACAAAGGGCCAGGAGCCGGAGCGAGCCGGGUCCCUGCUGGUGAAGUGUGCAGGAAUAAUGCAGCCAUCUCCACUGCUGCAUUACAACACAUGGACCUGCCUUUGUGCUGUAAAUCCAACAGAACACACACACGCACUCUCUCUCUCUCUCUCACACACACAAACACACACACACAGGCUCUGUUCAUUCUGCACCUCCAUAUCAGCACAGUGCCCAGAAGGAGGGGGACAUUCUAAACCAUUGUAAUAAUGAUGGUGAAUGAAGAGAAGACAUUAACACAGGACACUCCUCAGUACUUCUGCUGUUCCUUCAUAAGGAAGUGUUUGGUUGUUUCAUUAUGAAAUGGAUUAUAUUGUAUAUGGUGUGCUGCAGCCUCUUAGGCAGGACUCUGUAAAAAAAGAGAUUAUUAUCUAAAUGGAUCUCACCUGGAAAAAUAGUGGAUGAAUAAAAAUAAAUACGAAUGAUCAUACACAUGCAUCCUGGGGCUUUUUCCGUGCAUGUGCCUUGAUCACAGACUCAUUUUCUAAGGGUACAUAUCUGGGAUAUAACCUUAAGGAUAUAAAUAAAUCAAAACCACAUCGGGUUUUUUUAUGGCCAGACCUUGAAUACUUAGUAAUGAUUAAGGAGGGUUUCCAUAAUAACCCAUCCCAGCUGUAUAAUAACCCACCCUGGCUGUAUAAUAACCCAUCCCCAC